rnacentral:rRNA from 1 species
AGAGUUUGAUCCUGGCUCAGGACGAACGCUGGCGGCGUGCUUAACACAUGCAAGUCGAACGAUGAUGCCCAGCUUGCUGGGCGGAUUAGUGGCGAACGGGUGAGUAACACGUGAGUAACCUGCCCUUGACUUCGGGAUAACUCCGGGAAACCGGGGCUAAUACCGGAUAUGAGCCGUCCUCGCAUGGGGGUGGUUGGAAAGUUUUUCGGUCAGGGAUGGGCUCGCGGCCUAUCAGCUUGUUGGUGGGGUGAUGGCCUACCAAGGCGACGACGGGUAGCCGGCCUGAGAGGGCGACCGGCCACACUGGGACUGAGACACGGCCCAGACUCCUACGGGAGGCAGCAGUGGGGAAUAUUGCACAAUGGGCGAAAGCCUGAUGCAGCGACGCCGCGUGAGGGAUGAAGGCCUUCGGGUUGUAAACCUCUUUCAGCAGGGAAGAAGCGCAAGUGACGGUACCUGCAGAAGAAGCGCCGGCUAACUACGUGCCAGCAGCCGCGGUAAUACGUAGGGCGCAAGCGUUGUCCGGAAUUAUUGGGCGUAAAGAGCUCGUAGGCGGUUUGUCGCGUCUGGUGUGAAAACUCGAGGCUCAACCUCGAGCUUGCAUCGGGU